AUUUUUGUUUCGUAUAAAAACAGGACUGCCAUCAUUAAGGGCCACACAUUCUUACAUUUGAUCUUCUUCUACCACAUCCUUCCUUAGUUUCCUGAACUAAAUUUAAACCGCAGGAAAGUCAGGAUGAACCAAAACCGCGCAGUCGUCAUUUUCAUGGUGUUGACGGUCAUAUUUGCGGGGUGUGUGGCAGGGGAGGACUGUAUUCCUGGAGGUGGGACGUGCGAUUGUGGAACGGCCGUAACGCCCCUGACCAAAGAAGGAUGCUGCAAGAACUUCAAGUGUGCUGUUCCAUUACUUGCUCUGGUAGGAAAAGCCAAGUGUGUUUGCCAAACAAACAAAACAGGAUAAUGUUAUACAUAUUCCGAAUUAAACAAAUAAAACUGGACGUCUUAUGUCGCACGUCAC